UGUUUUCUAUAGAGUUCUAAGUGAUUGUUUAGAAUUUGCUUAGCUUCCUCUCCAUUCUUACCAUACACAUAGAUUAAAAUUGAUAAUACAACUAUAAGUUAAUUUUAGAUCAAUCGCACCCUAAAGCCAUAGUAUAAUUGCUCUAGCUUAAUUUUCCACUACUUUACUUGUAAUUGCCUAGAGCUUAAGUAAAUAACAUCUUAUCAUU
rnacentral:lncRNA from 1 species